GGCCUCCCUGGGGGAUUUGCCGCACGGCGCGGGCGGCGCGCACUGCCCCCGGCGGCUGCCUGCCUCCCCUCCUUGCUUGCCCCCGGUCGUCCGCCCCUUGCCUCCUCCCCGGUGUCCCCAACCCCUUUAGAUUUCCCGCCGCCCUGAACUCGGGGCAGCUCGCGAUCCCAGCGCGUUGUUUGAUCCCCGCCCCCAGCUUUUCCCGCGUCCGGGAGGCCUGGCACACAAGGCGCACACACUCGUUCCUCCCUCCCCCACCCCCAUCCCGAACCCCCACUGAGAUAAUGUGAAUGAUUUCUCCAGGUCUGGUCCGGGUUGAGACGGAGUGGUUCGUUGACUGCAUGACCUUGGGCAUGCCCACCUCUCUUUUAUGAUGGAACGCCAGACACUGUUAAACCCGGGGAUUACCACGAUGAGAGAGAUACAGUGGCCGCUCCCUAGCAGCAGUCAACCAACUGCGGAGGCUCACAGAACCCUACUUUUUGACCAAUGCCUGGGGAUUCUGUGUUUGCCCUUUCCCUUGCGGCUUAGAUGGUGUUCUGAGGGAAGGGGGGCAUCCGGAGGAGGGCCUUCACGGUAUGAAGCCGCAACUGCACCGGGUGUGGAACAAGACACAGUGUCCCUAGAAAGCCCGCUGCCAGAUACCUGCGUGGGUAUGGCUGCCAUCUAUAGACUCCCCUGGGACAGCCUUUAAGAGAGGCAGUAGACAGAAGUAAAAUGCUGUAGAGAAUAUCCAGAGGAAUUAGUCAUACGUUAAGCUGUUAUGGUAAAGUAACUGGUGGAGAGGAUCUGUGCUUUGCACCUCAGAAAAAUAUGGCUAAGGCGAAUAUGCUGAGUCAUGGGGCUGGGGAGGAAGGGAGUACCCAUAGCCUUUAAGGCACAGAUACUGGGGCCUGAGGUCUUUAUUCUGAGGGUAUGCAGGGUGUGUGCAGGGGCAAGGAAGAAAUGUGUGGGCCCCUACACAAGACCCUUAGACAUCCUGCUUUACAAAGGACUCCAGACACCACAGUAGGUUCCUAGUGGGGGAAAGUCACCUGGGUGCUCCUUAGAAAGGUGACCCUGACAAGUGUCCAGAGUGGGCCGCAGGACUUGGAGACAGACCGCUGAAGGGGAUCAGACCAGCAGGGACGGCUCCUAAGUGGCACUUGUAGGUCGACAUGCUACCUGCUUGGCCCGGGUCACCUGGCCACUAACCCACACCCUGCUGACCUGAGUUUGUCCUGGGUUUAGUAUCCUAUCAUCUCACAGAGUUCUGACCUUUCAUUUUACUAAGUUGUUUUGGUUUGGUUUGGUUUGGUUUUUGCCUCCCAGAACACCUCCCCACCCCCAGUUUGCAGACAAACCUUUACCCCCAGGCAGACUUGCCUUAUUCGCCAUUUAUUCUCUUGUCCCUUGGGGUGGUGUCGUGUGUGUGUGUGUGUGUGUGUGUGUGUGUGUGUGUGUGUGUGUCCGUCCGUCCAUGUGUGUAUCCAUGCUGAAGAGUGGGCUGUGCCCCAUCUUGUUCUGAAAAAAUGAUAAACAAUGCCUUCUUUGUUGUUCUGCAACCUGGACCAAAGGGGUGGUACCCUCCUUUCAUAUUCUAAGCAGAUAGGACCGCAGUGAGGACAGAAAAUUGCCGGUUGUCUCUUAAACAGUGGGGUUUUCCUGUGUUUUUGAACUCCUCUUGGUGAAAGGCGACGAACCUGUGGAGUUGUCCUCUUUCCUGCUUUUCCCCAACAAACCUCACAAGCUUCUUAAAAAGCUCCUACUAAAUCUCUGACUUAAAAAAAAAAAUCCUCAACAACAAAAUCACAAAUACAUUGUCCCGGAAUCUCCUGGGAGUCAGAGCUUCUUGGGGGAGCAUUUUAACCCUCUGCAGGUUCCCACCAAGACCCUUUGGAGCCAGUGCCUCCUGCAAUAAGGUCUGUAGUGGCUUUGGCUGCUGUCUGCUCUUAAGCCCUAAUGUGCUGACCUGGCAUGCAAUUGUAUUUUCUAAUAGUUCUUGUCUGUUCUAUUGCUUUUAAGGCACCUGACAGGUACAUGGAGGAUGAACAAGUCAAGGUCUCCCAGUGGAGCUGCCAGCAGCCAAUCACAGUUCGUUUAUUGUCAUUUUAGGAGUAUUUGCUCUGGUAGAAUAAGCAAGGGACUUCACAUACACACUUAGAGGAACAGAAGGCCCAUGUCACCAAAACUUAUGUAUAUAUUUGUGCCUGUGCACUGCCCUCUUCCAAAGUUAUAAAGGCCCCGACCCUUAACUCUGCUAAGUGUCAAGAACAAGGCUACUUUGCAAAUGAUAAACUCAUGGAUGAGUUUUUACUCUCUUAUCCUGGUCAGUGAAGGUAUGUCAAAUCGGUGCUGUCUGCCCUCCCACGGAGGCCGUGAACUCAAAAUCCCGAAAGAUUUCUUUGAACUUGAAAGGUUCCUAGGAACUUUUUUUCCCCCGUCAUAGUCUUCCCUACUCCCAAAGCAGGAGGAACAUGGAGUACAGUGUUUGGAGCGGAGGUCUUUUUGCUCCUGGUGUGAUGAUCGGAAAGCAGAAUCUUGCAUACUGCACGCAUCACGUCCGGUAAUCACAACCAGGGGCUGCUCCGUUGCCUGCCUGUGCAGCCCAGCACCCAUGAGCACUGACUUCUCUCACCUGUUUGCUUUUAAAGCAUAAAGCAAAUGUCAGCAGUCUAGGAGAGACGCCCCUCCCCCCCACGUUUUCCCCUAGGUUUUGGGAAUGUUCUGUGGGUUUGUUUUAGAGCUAGGGAAAGGGGGGGGGUGUGGUAUUUUGCCUGAGGACUCAAAGGUUUUUUUUCUUCCCUUUUUCCUUCGCAUGACUGACUUUCUCACACUCGGAUUCCCCGCAGCCUGCCAGAGACUGGGUUGCUGCCUUGCCAAGAGCUAUCCUGCUAGGGCUAUUGAAAGAGCUUUAAGUGUUUGACUGGCUGGUGACGUCAGGAUCCUUUCCGGGAAUCGUCAUCACUGUCUUCUCAGAUAAGAGUCUUCGAGCUCAUCACAGAAGUCCCAAGCAGAACUUCUCAUAACCUGGACAGUCCUCGAAAAAGGAGUUUGAAUCUAUUCCUUUAUAUGCCCUUGUCUGUCUAGCAGGAGUCUAAUAAAUAUUUCCCAAAUGAA